rnacentral:misc_RNA from 1 species
AGCUGGAUCAUUUUUCCGAUCACAAAAACUCGAAAAAAAUCCACUUCUGUUUGUGCAAAAGAAAAAAGAGGGACGCGUCAUUGCAAAACUCUUUUUUCGUGCGCGCAAGCAACUCUCAAAAACAAAAGCGCAGCAAAGACCUCCUCUUUCUCUUCCCCCUUCGGGGGGUGUUUUUGAGGAGCAAUCUUCCCUGCUCUACCUCAAAACAAAAAAACGCCGCCGUGCGCGGUGUUGGGUAGAACCUAAAACGUGUCGCGAUGGAUGACUUGGCUUCCCAUAUCUGUGAAGAACGCAGCAAAGUGCGAUAAGUGGUAUGAAUUGCAGAAUCUCUCCAUUACUUAAUCUUUGAACGCAAAAGGCGCUCGGGAGAAGCCCCUCGUGGGUCAUCCCCGUGCAUGCCGUAUUGCUCAGUGUCGAAAAACAACAAACAAAAACCCGCUCGUCAAAAAAGCGGGGGUUCUUUCUCGCAAAGAAAUGGUUUCUCGAAGUUGACGCCGCGCCCGCGGCGAAAAUUUACGUUUUCGUCGCGUGUGCAUGCCGUCAAUUCGGGGAUUGGGUGUUCCUUUUGUUGGAAACGACAAGAAUAAAGCAACCAAUCAGCCAAAAACUUUCAGAUACCAACCAACGUUUGAUCAAAAAAACAACCAAAAAAUUUACUGACCUGAGUGCGGCAGGACGACCCGCUAAACUUAAGCAUAUUGCUCAGCGGAGGAAAAGAAAACAACCGUGAUUCCCUUAGUGAGCGGCGAGCGAACAGGGAUCCAACUCGAUGCCGAAUCGGGCUUUACAGAGCCUUGAGUUGUGGCACGACUGCCCCGUGACUGGUCAAGGGAGUGGCAAAAUUCAAUGUGCAAAGCAAACCCAUUGUUGAAUGCAACCCUUCAUGUGAGUAUUGAGCCAUAGGAGGUGAAAGCCCAUUCCAGCCACUGUUACCCUAAGCCUCAUUGGGUGGUUAUAAGCGAGUAGCACUGCUUGGGAAUGCAGUGUCAAGCGGCAGGUAUGUGUCUGCCAAAGUUAAAUACAAAAUGGGAAGACCGAUAGCAAACAAGUAGCGUGAGCGAAAGUUUGAAAAGCACUUUGGAAAGAGAGUGACAUAGAACCUGAAGUCGUGACAAUGACAAUGAAAGUGCCUCCAUUUUUGUCAAGGCCGGCCCUGCAGCAUUAUCUGGUGUUCCUCCUUCGGGCGCCAACGCCAGGCAAACAAAUGUUGAAAGGGGACCGGAGCAAAGAGCCGAGGUAAAGGUAGGAGUUUUGGCUUGCCAAUGAACCCGUCCUUCUCGGUAGACUCAGCGACUUGACGCUCUGGAAAUGGGGUACCUUCACCCGUCUUGAAACACGGACCAAGGAGUCAAACAGACACGCAAGAGGGAAGAUAUUGUUGCCAGUACUUCUCUCGAACUGAAAGGGAUGCUUUUUGCAUUGGUGUGCACACAAGAACUGCCCAACACCGACCGCCCUUCUUUUAGGAUGAGUCUGAGUGUGCCUGUUUGGACCCGAAAGGUGGUGAACUAUGCCUGAACAAGGUGAAGUCCGGGGAAACUCGGAUGGAGGCCUGUAGCGGUGCUGACGUGCAAAUCGCUCGCAUGAUUUGGGUAUCGGAGCGAAAGACUCAUCGAACCACCUAGUAGCUGGUUCACAU